rnacentral:rRNA from 1 species
UACGUAGGGUGCGAGCGUUAAUCGGAAUUACUGGGCGUAAAGUGUGCGCAGGUGGCCGCGCAAGUCGAGUGUGAAAUCCCCGAGCUUAACUUGGGAAUUGCGCUCGAAACUACGUGGCUAGAGUGUGGCAGAGGGAGGUGGAAUUCCACGUGUAGCGGUGAAAUGCGUAGAGAUGUGGAGGAACACCAAUGGCGAAGGCAGCCUCCUGGGCCAACACUGACACUCAUGCACGAAAGCCAGGGGAGCAAACGGG